UACGUAGGGUGCAAGCGUUAAUCGGAAUUACUGGGCGUAAAGCGUGCGCAGGCGGUUUUGUAAGACUGUCGUGAAAUCCCCGGGCUUAACCUGGGAAUUGCGAUGGUGACUGCAAGGCUAGAGUUUGGCAGAGGGGGGGUAGAAUUCCACGUGUAGCAGUGAAAUGCGUAGAGAUGUGGAGGAACACCGAUGGCGAAGGCAGCCCCCUGGGUCAAGACUGACGCUCAUGCACGAAAGCGUGGGGAGCAAACAGG
rnacentral:rRNA from 1 species